CCUAGAGAUGGAUUGGUGCCUUCGGGAACGUCUGACACAGGUGCUGCAUGGCUGUCGUCAGGCUCGUGUCGUGAGAUGUUGGGUUAAGUCCCAUAACGAGCGCAACCCUUGCCUUUAGUUGCCAGCAGUUCGGCUGGGCACUCUAAAGGGACUGCCGGUGUUAAACCGGAGGAAGGUGGGGAUGACGUCAAGUCCUCAUGGCCUUUAUGACCAGGGCUACACACGUACUACAAUGGCCGAUACAAAGGGCAGCGACACUGCGAGGUGAAGCCAAUCCCGUAAAAUCGGUCUCAGUCCGGAUUGGAGUCUGCAACUCGACUCCAUGAAGUUGGAAUCGCUAGUAAUCGUGGAUCAGCAUGCCACGGUGAAUACGUUCCCGGGCCUU
rnacentral:rRNA from 1 species